ACCACACCCAAAUCAAUUAAUAAACGGGGAAUGAAGAAAGAAGCACUUUUGACUUGCUUUUCACAGCAUUUGAACUAUCAUUUCUUGUAUAAUGGACAUCGUAAGAGUUGUCUAAAGCCCUGCCAUUCAUGGUGGCUUCAAAUACUAUGCUAAAAGUCCUAAUUAUGGACUGUUUUGAACACGGAUCAUCCCCAUACUUCAUUCAAAUCCAACCAUCGCUUUUCCUUGAGUUUACAGCAGGGCCUCCUCUUCCUCUUUGGCCUCUUCCUUGGCCACCUCCCUCUCUUCCUUGGCCACCUCCCCCGCUUCCUUGGCCAGCUGCCCCUCUUC